rnacentral:rRNA from 1 species
GCAUAUCAAUAAGCGGAGGAAAAGAAACCAACAGGGAUUGCCCCAGUAACGGCGAGUGAAGCGGCAACAGCUCAAAUUUGAAAUCUGGCCCCCGGGUCCGAGUUGUAAUUUGUAGAGGAUGCUUUUGGCGAGGUGCCUUCCGAGUUCCCUGGAACGGGACGCCAUAGAGGGUGAGAGCCCCGUCUGGUCGGACACCGAGCCUCUGUAAAGCUCCUUCGACGAGUCGAGUAGUUUGGGAAUGCUGCUCAAAAUGGGAGGUAUAUGUCUUCUAAAGCUAAAUAUUGGCCAGAGACCGAUAGCGCACAAGUAGAGUGAUCGAAAGAUGAAAAGCACUUUGAAAAGAGGGUUAAAAAGUACGUGAAAUUGUUGAAAGGGAAGCGCCUAUGACCAGACUUGGGCCCGGUGAAUCACCCAGCGUUCUCGCUGGUGCACUUCGCCGGGCACAGGCCAGCAUCAGUUUGGCGCGGGGGAGAAAGGCUUCGGGAAUGUGGCUCCCCCGGGAGUGUUAUAGCCCGUUGCGCAAUACCCUGCGCUGGACUGAGGUACGCGCAUUCGCAAGGAUGCUGGCGUAAUGGUCAUCAGCGACCCGUCUUGAAACACGGACCAAGGAGUCGUCUUCGUAUGCGAGUGUUCGGGUGUCAAACCCCUACGCGUAAUGAAAGUGAACGCAGGUGAGAGCUUCGGCGCAUCAUCGACCGAUCCUGAUGUUCUCGGAUGGAUUUGAGUAAGAGCAUACGGGGCCGGACCCGAAAGAAGGUGAACUAUGCCUGUAUAGGGUGAAGCCAGAGGAAACUCUGGUGGAGGCUCGCAGCGGUUCUGACGUGCGAAUCGAUCGUCAAAUAUGGGCAUGGGGGCGAAAGACUAAUCGAACCUUCUAGUAGCUGGUUUCCGCCGA